rnacentral:rRNA from 1 species
GACGAACGCUGGCGGCGUGCUUAACACAAGCAAGUCGAACGGAAAGGCCCCUUUGGGGGUACUCGAGUGGCGAACGGGUGAGUAACACGUGAGUAACCUGCCCUUGACUUCGGGAUAACUUCAGGAAACUGGGGCUAAUACCGGAUAGGAAUCCUUGCUGCAUGGUGGGGGUUGGAAAGCUUCGGCGGUUUUGGAUGGACUCGCGGCUUAUCAGCUUGUUGGUGGGGUAGUGGCUUACCAAGGCUUUGACGGGUAGCCGGCCUGAGAGGGCGACCGGCCACAUUGGGACUGAGAUACGGCCCAGACUCCUACGGGAGGCAGCAGUGGGGAAUAUUGCACAAUGGGCGGAAGCCUGAUGCAGCAACGCCGCGUGCGGGAUGACGGCCUUCGGGUUGUAAACCGCUUUCAGCAGGGGCGAAGCUUGUGGUGACGGUACCUGCAGAAGAAGCACCGGCUAACUACGUG